rnacentral:rRNA from 1 species
UGAGCAAUCUGCCCUUCUCAUCGGAAUAAGCGUUGGAAACGACGUCUAAUGCCGAAUACGACCUCCUUUCGCAUGAUCGGAGGUGGAAAGCUCCGGCGGAGAAGGAUGAGCUCGCGGCCUAUCAGCUAGUUGUGUGGUAACGGCCCACCAAGGCGACGACGGAUAGCCGGCCUGAGAGGGUGACCGGCCACACUGGGACUGAGACACCGGCCCAGACCUCCGUACGGGAGCA